AGAGUUUGAUCCUGGCUCAGGAUGAACGCUGGCGGCGUGCUUAACACAUGCAAGUCGAACGAACCUUCGGGUUAGUGGCGGACGGGUGAGUAACGCGUGAGAAUCUGCCCUCAGGAGGGGGAUAACGGUUGGAAACGACCGCUAAUACCCCAUAUGCCUAUUGGUGAAAUGAAUUUCGCCUGAGGAUGAGCUCGCGUCUGAUUAGCUAGUUGGUGGGGUAAAGGCUUACCAAGGCAUCGAUCAGUAGCUGGUCUGAGAGGAUGAUCAGCCACACUGGGACUGAGACACGGCCCAGACUCCUACGGGAGGCAGCAGUGGGGAAUUUUCCGCAAUGGGCGAAAGCCUGACGGAGCAACGCCGCGUGAGGGAUGAAGGCCUCUGGGCUGUAAACCUCUUUUAUCAAGGAAGAAGAUCUGACGGUACUUGAUGAAUAAGCCACGGCUAAUUCCGUGCCAGCCGCCGCGGU
rnacentral:rRNA from 1 species